CAGUAUUUUAAAGUACUAUCUCAGUAUUAUAAUAAUAUGACAUGAAAAUUAUUAUUUAUUGGGGAAAAAAUAAAAAUCAGAAAAAGGUCCCAAAGGAAUUUUGUAGGAUUUUGUAACUACUAUUUUCGCAGACAUCUCUAGAUGCCAACUAGAUGUAAGUAACAAAGCUUUAUACAAAUUCAGAGACAAAACAGGUCAAUUUCACCUGAAUUUCUUCUCAAGUUUCCAGUACACAUAUACCAAAGGAGAAAAAUAUCAAUCC